rnacentral:rRNA from 1 species
GCGGUGCAUUAGUUAGUUGGCGAGGUAACGGCUCACCAAGACGAUGAUGCAUAGCCGACCUGAGAGGGUGAUCGGCCACACUGGGACUGAGACACGGCCCAGACUCCUACGGGAGGCAGCAGUAGGGAAUCUUCGGCAAUGGACGAAAGUCUGACCGAGCAACGCCGCGUGAGUGAAGAAGGUUUUCGGAUCGUAAAACUCUGUUGUCAGAGAAGAACAGGGAUAAGAGUAACUGUUUAUCCCGUGACGGUAUCUGACCAGAAAGCCACGGCUAACUAC